GACGAACGCUGGCGGCGUGCCUAAUACAUGCAAGUCGAACGCAGUGGGGACGGGUGAGUAACACGUGGGUAACCUCCCAUCAGAGGGGAUAACCCUUGGAUACUGGUGCUAAACCGAUACUGAUGGAUGGACCAGCGGGGCAUUAGCUAGUUGGUGAGGUAACGGCCGACCAAGGCCACGAUGCAUAGCCGGCCGGAGAGGGUGAGAGGCCACACUGGGACUGAGACACGGCCCAGACUCCUACGGGAGGCAGCAGUGGGGAAUCUUCGGCAAUGGACGAAAGUCUGACCGAGCGACGCCGCGUGUGUGAAGAAGGUUUUCGGAUCGUAAAGCUCUGUUGUUAGAGAAGCGGUAGCUAACCAGAAAGCCACGGCUAACUACGUGCCAGCAGCCGCGGUAAUUC
rnacentral:rRNA from 1 species